CCCAGUCCUGGCUCUGCCAGAGACAUGCGGUGGAACGACGAGUCCCGUUUUCCGCAUCUGAACUACUUUCUCACAACUGGCCUCCGUGUGCCCUCAAAGCAGCCUGUGAAGUACAGAAAAGAUGACGACUGUUCCAGUUUUACAGUGCUGAGUAGAUGGCACCCGCUGACGACUGCCACAGAGCUCCAUCUGCAGCCCCAAGCGGACUUCCCAAAGUCUGCCCUCCAGCCAAAUCCCACAUCCAGGAAAACAGUCUCUGCGGUAAGCAAGGAAUCGUCAGGCUAGAACGCAGGCAGAGGAGGAGGAACAGUGCACUCACAGCUGGAGUGCUCACACCCAGUUCCAGCUCCGUUUAAUCUGUUGCCAUGACGACUCAUAGCUUACCCACCUCUGUGGGGCAAAAUGACUUCCUCCAGCCUUGGGGAGCUCUGGAUGUGAACGGUCAUUUUACCAAGGCCCCAGGAGAUGGGAGGGCUCCAUGCCCACCCCCAUCCCAACCACCACAUUUUCAUUUCAGCAUAAACUGAGGGCUUCUCCAGCAUGAGGACUUAGUUGCAUUUCACUAUAAAGCCCCAGCACGUAACACGGUGCCUG
rnacentral:lncRNA from 1 species